ACAAAAACAUCUCCUUUUGUGUUUAUAUAAGGUAGGGCCUGCCCACUGAAAUUUAUUUGAAGGGCCGCGGUAUUAUGACCGUGCAAAGGUAGCAUAAUCAUUAGUCUUUUAAUUGAAGGCUGGAAUGAAUGGUUUGACGAGGUGAUGACUGUCUCAUUAUAAAAUAUAGAAGUUAACUUUUAAGUUAAAAGGCUUAAAUUUUAGUGGAGGACGAGAAGACCCUAUAGAGCUUUAUAUAUAGGUUUAGAUUUGUAUUUAGUAGUUUAUAAAAAUUUAGAUUUAUUAUAUUGGGUUGGGGUGACAUAAAGAUAUAAUUAACUCUUUAUUUUAAGAACAUUGAUGUAUGGAUUUUUUGAUCCAUUUUUAGUGAUUAUAAGAUUAAGUUACCUUAGGGAUAACAGCGUAAUUUUUCUUGAGAGUUCAUAUCAACAGAGAAGAUUGCGACCUCGAUGUUGGAUUAAGGAAUAUAAUUAGAUGCAGCAGUUUAAUUAAUAGGUCUGUUCGACCUUUAAAUUCUUACGUCAUCUGAGUU
rnacentral:rRNA from 1 species